rnacentral:misc_RNA from 1 species
GAUGAAGAACGUAGCGAAAUGCGAUAGUAAUGCGAAUUGCAGAAUUUCCGUGAGUCAUCGAAUCUUUGAACGCACAUUGCGCCCACUGGUAUUCCGGUGGGCAUGCCUGUUCGAGCGUCAUUAUCCUCCCUCAAACCCCGGGUUUGGUGUUGGACCCAAGUUGUGUGAACAACUGGUCUCAAAGACAAUGACGGCGUCCGUGGGACCCUCGGUGCAACGAGCUUUUAGGAGCACGCAUCGAGUUGCAAGGACCUUCCGGGCCGGUCUCCUUUACCAUUUUACAAGGUUGACCUCGGAUCAGGUAGGAAUACCCGCUGAACUUAAGCAUAUCAAUAAGCGGAGGA